GGAAUAUUGGACAAUGGGCGAAAGCCUGAUCCAGCAAUGCCGCGUGUGUGAAGAAGGCCUGCGGGUUGUACAGCACUUUCAGUAGGGAGGAAGGUCUUAAUGUUAAUACCAUUAAGAAUUGACGUUACCUACAGAAGAAGCCCCGGCUAACUCUGUGCCAGCAGCCGCGGUAAUACAGAGGGUGCAAGCGUUAAUCGGAAUUACUGGGCGUAAAGCGGGCGUAGGUGGUUAGAUAAGUUAGAUGUGAAAGCCCUGGGCUUAACCUGGGAAUGGCGUUUAAAACUGUCUAACUAGAGGGUAGGAGAGGGAAGUGGAAUUUCCGGUGUAGCGGUGAAAUGCGUAGAUAUCGGAAGGAACACCAGUGGCGAAGGCGGCUUCCUGGACUAUUUCUGACACUGAGGCACGAAAGCGUGGGGAGCGAAC
rnacentral:rRNA from 1 species